rnacentral:rRNA from 1 species
UACAGAGGUCCCGAGCGUUGUUCGGAAUUACUGGGCGUAAAGGGCUCGUAGGCGGCCAACUAAGUCAGACGUGAAAUCCCUCGGCUUAACCGGGGAACUGCCUCUGAUACUGGAUGGCUUGAGAUUGGGAGAGGGAUGCGGAAUUCCAGGUGUAGCGGUGAAAUGCGUAGAUAUCUGGAGGAACACCGGUGGCGAAGGCGGCAUCCUGGACCGGUAUUGACGCUGAGGCGCGAAAGCCAGGGGAGCAAACGGG